UAAUACAUUUUGUAAAACCAUGUUCGGC
rnacentral:sRNA from 1 species